GACCGCUGGCGGCGUGCCUAAUACAUGCAAGUCGAGCGAACAGAAGGGAGCUUGCUCCCGGAUGUUAGCGGCGGACGGGUGAGUAACACGUGGGUAACCUGCCUGUAAGACUGGGAUAACUCCGGGAAACCGGAGCUAAUACCGGAUAGUUCCUUGAACCGCAUGGUUCAAGGAUGAAAGACGGUUUCGGCUGUCACUUACAGAUGGACCCGCGGCGCAUUAGCUAGUUGGUGGGGUAAUGGCUCACCAAGGCGACGAUGCGUAGCCGACCUGAGAGGGUGAUCGGCCACACUGGGACUGAGACACGGCCCAGACUCCUACGGGAGGCAGCAGUAGGGAAUCUUCCGCAAUGGACGAAAGUCUGACGGAGCAACGCCGCGUGAGUGAUGAAGGUUUUCGGAUCGUAAAGCUCUGUUGUUAGGGAAGAACAAGUGCGAGAGUAACUGCUCGCACCUUGAC
rnacentral:rRNA from 1 species